GAUAGGGAUUGGGGUUUGCAAUUGUCUCCCAUGAACGAGGAAUUCCCAGUAAGCGCAAGUCAUGAGCUUGCGUUGAUUACGUCCCUGCCCUUUGUACACACCGCCCGUCGCUACUACCGAUUGAAUGAUUUAGUGAGGCCUUCGGACUGGCGCUCUUGGAUGCCGGGCCUGCGUCGCGGUCAGUUCUGCUGCCGCCGCUGGGCUCUUUCGGCGCCUCGAGCUGACGGAAAGAUGNUCGAACUUGAUCAUUUAGAGGAAGUAAAAGUCGUAACAAGGUUUCCGUAGGUGAACCUGCGGAAGGAUCCUUAACGUGUUGUUGGUUUUGAAGGCGAACCACACACUCAAAAUAGAGCUAAUACAAAUAGUGGGUGGUCGCGGUUCGC
rnacentral:rRNA from 1 species